rnacentral:rRNA from 1 species
CGCUGGCGGCGUGCCUAAUACAUGCAAGUAGAACGCUGAAGCUUGGUGCUUGCACCGAGCGGAUGAGUUGCGAACGGGUGAGUAACGCGUAGGUAACCUGCCUCUUAGCGGGGGAUAACUAUUGGAAACGAUAGCUAAUACCGCAUAAAAGUCGACAUUGCAUGAUGUUGACUUGAAAGGUGCAAUUGCAUCACUAAGAGAUGGACCUGCGUUGUAUUAGCUAGUUGGUGAGGUAACGGCUCACCAAGGCGACGAUACAUAGCCGACCUGAGAGGGUGAUCGGCCACACUGGGACUGAGACACGGCCCAGACUCCUACGGGAGGCAGCAGUAGGGAAUCUUCGGCAAUGGGGGCAACCCUGACCGAGCAACGCCGCGUGAGUGAAGAAGGUUUUCGGAUCGUAAAGCUCUGUUGUAAGAGAAGAACGAGUGUGAGAGUGGAAAGUUCACACUGUGACGGUAACUUACCAGAAAGGGACGGCUAACUACGUGCCAGCAGCCGCGGUAAUACGUAGGUCCCGAGCGUUAUCCGGAUUUAUUGGGCGUAAAGCGAGCGCAGGCGGUUAGAUAAGUCUGAAGUUAAAGGCUGUGGCUUAACCAUAGUACGCUUUGGAAACUGUUUAACUUGAGUGCAGAAGGGGAGAGUGGAAUUCCAUGUGUAGCGGUGAAAUGCGUAGAUAUAUGGAGGAACACCGGUGGCGAAAGCGGCUCUCUGGUCUGUAACUGACGCUGAGGCUCGAAAGCGUGGGGAGCAAACAGGAUUAGAUACCCUGGUAGUCCACGCCGUAAACGAUGAGUGCUAGGUGUUGGGUCCUUUCCGGGACUCAGUGCCGCAGCUAACGCAUUAAGCACUCCGCCUGGGGAGUACGACCGCAAGGUUGAAACUCAAAGGAAUUGACGGGGGCCCGCACAAGCGG